rnacentral:rRNA from 1 species
UUGAAAGGGAAACGAUUGAAGUCAGUCGUACCAGCGGGAAUCAACCUUUCGAGUGGGGNUUUGGAGUUUUGAAGAGUGUCAAAACCUUUGAGAUUUCAAAAUUUUCGCUCCUUUGGUGUACUUUCUCGUGGGUAGGUUAACAUCGAUUUCGAUCAUCAUAAAAGGAUUGGAGGGAUGUAGCUUCGAUCUUGUAUUGAAGUGUUAUAGCCUUUGGUAAAUGUGAUGAUUGGGAUCGAGGAUUGCAACGAAUACCCUUUUGGGCUAUCCGCCUGAUCUCUGAUACGUGGCCUUGGCAUCGAAAGCUUGCUUAUGGUAUCAAGGUAUUACGGUCAAAAGGUUAGAACGGAUUACAUUCGUUAAGGAUGUUGACGUA